rnacentral:rRNA from 1 species
UUAUUUGAAAGAGAGAAAGUUGGGGAUUGAUGGGGGGAAAGGGAAUGGGGUUGGUAUUGGGGAAGGGGGGAGGGGAAGGGUUGUUUGUGGGGGGGUGAGAAGGGGUUGGUGAGGGUAAGGUAAAAGGGGGGGGAGAGGGGGUGGGGAGGGGGGGAAAGAGUUUUGUUUUGUGGAUGAGGGUUGGAGUUGGGUGGAAUGGUGUGGGAGGGAGAUAGGGUUUGGAAGGGGAAGAGGAGGGGAGUUGGGGGGGUGGGGGGGAAUUGGGGAGGGAGGUUGAAAAUGGGGGAGAGGGGGAGGUGGAGGUGUGGGGGGGGGUGGUAGGGAUAUGGGGAGGAGGUGUGGAAGGUGAAGAGGGUGUAGUGGAUAGAAUAAUGUAGGUAAGGGAAGUGGGGAAAUGGGAUGGGUAAGUUGGGGAU